GCUGCGGGGCUGGAGAUGGGAGGUGCUGUAGCACCAGGAUUCCCCACGGGGAUGCUCAGCACCAGCCUGGCUGCAGCUGCAGGGCUGGGGCUGCGUCCCCCCUUGUAAUGACAGGAUAAGAAGGGACCGGGUCAGCCAAAGUGCCUGCGCUGGGCAGGGGCUGCCAGCCAAGGGCCGGGUGGGGAGCAGCUGAGCUGCAGCACCGCAACUGCAGCCCUGCAGUGAGAGCAGCGAGCGGGGAGCAGCGCUGAGCCCCAACCCCUGCAGCAGUGAGCGGCUCCUGGCUUAGCGAGGCAAAACGCACAGCUUGGCGAGGAGCAACGCGCACAGAGAGAGCUGGAAGGCAGCACGGGAAGCAGAGCAGGGCAGGGCAGAGCAGCGCUGGUGUCAGCGGCGGCACACAGCUCCCAAUGCCCGCAAGGUGAGUGGCAGCGCCGGGUCAGCCCUCCGGGCAGCUCCCACCUCGCUGUGCCACUGCCGGCACCGGCGAUUCCUUUGGCUUUUUUCUUGUUUCCCAUCGCUGCUUUAAAGAGCUCUGAAGCAAGGACAUGCAAGAAUAGAAAAGGCAACAAGGAUUUUUUUUUCCUUUUUUCUUUUCUUUUUUUUUUUUUUUUUGCAGCUUGCUACAGGGAAAGGGGUGAAGGAGAGGCAGGGACGGGAAAUCAAACUAUGCUGCAGGAUUUGGGGCUGUUCCAACCUAACAAAGCAGCCGGGUGACCCCGAGGAGCAGCAGAAAGCACCCGGAGCCCCUCCGCCACCGCUGCAGCACGCGCUUCCUGCAUCCAUCCAUCCCAAGGCAGCCCGCAGUAACGCAGCAGAAAGACAAGGGUCAUGCUGAGCCGCAUCCUCCUCGCACACAACAGCCGAGCGGCAGCACCGAACAUGCAUGGCUCAGCCGUGCCGCCACGCCACGCCGGAACGGAGAGCCUUAAAAUAAGGAGCUGUAGCAGCGAUGAGGUCUCCCCUCAGCCCCUCUUCUCCACGCUGACCCAUCCCACAGCGCUGUGCUCCGACCCAUCACAGCUCCUGCCCAUCUCUGGACACACCUGGGGCCCCAAUGUGUUUCUGGCAGCGAGGGGCCCCAGCACCGAACACAGCACUGCAGGUGCAGAGCAACGAUCACCUUCUGCUGACUGCACUACUUCUGACACAAGCCAGGAUGCCGCUGGCUCCUUGGCCACCCUGGCACACUGCUGGCUCAUGUUCAUGUGACGCUGCAGAUGGAACGGAGCCUAAUACCAACAAGCACACGUCAGCCCAUCAACAGGAUGUACAAUUAAUGAUUAUGGAUAAAUAAUCCAGCUGAUCACAAGUCGAUUCCAAACCCCUAUUUGGUUUGUUGGUUGGUUUUUCUAUGCGCGGCCACAAGCACCAACAGAUCCUUCUUUUCUGUAAUACACAAGCACAGAGCUAUCUGUGGCUGUUACAGGAGGAGGACCCCCAGCCCCACAGGCCAGCAGCCCCUCUGCAGCCUGGAGCCACAUGCUGAGCCCAGGGCUGCUCUGGGCAAUGCAGGACGCUG
ensembl:lncRNA